AGAAAAUGAAGCCCAGAGUCUCUGGCCUGAGAACUUAACUUUGGACUAGCCAGGAAGGUCAAACUGCCCUGAGCAGUGGGUUGUUGUUGUGGCGUGGAAAACUUGUUACUUUGCAAUUCAGAAUGAAUUUCUUCUGUGAAGACAGAAGCCAAGAAUAUGGUGCAGAAUUUCCAGGAUGAAUCCUGUUUUGUCCUCAGCACCUUAAAAGCGGAAAGCAGUGAUGGCUACCACAUCAUCCUGAAAUGUGGCCUCUGAGCAGCACAGAGCGGCAGCUGCCUCCACCUCCCAGCCCCGUGGACCCCCUUGGAUGUAGGAAUUCACCAUCGGAAGCUGCAGCCUUCCUGGCCAGCUGCGGCUAGAAGGGACCUUGCUGAUCUAAGAAAGCUGCACACCGGCAGCCAGCAGAAACCCACGCAGACCUCUGCAUGCAGGUCCCACCAGCAGAAACCCACACAGACCUCUGCAUGCAGAUCCCACCAGCAGCCAGCAGAAACCCAUGCAGACCUCUGCAUGCAGAUCUCCCCGGCUCCUCUCUCCCUUGCUCUUGGCCUCCAGCUUUUGAAUGGUUCCUUGGUCCUUUCCCCACGCCUGCCUCUCUAAAGAGGCCGACAGCGGUGAGGGGGGCGUCUGGUCUGAAAUGCCUUGCUCUCCUAGUUGGAGGCUAGUUCAUGGCUGUCUUGUUGCCAAUGUGUUGGUUCCUUCUGACCAGUCCCCUGCCUCCAGGCGAAGCUCGGCCCCACCCUUCGCCUUCUUCUCUGGUAACUGGCUCCAUGGCCAGGACUGCUGACCAGAUGGGGGCGAUUUGCCACCAUCAUCUGUCUUCGUGUUCAUUUCGUUCUCGAUGGUCCUGGUGAGCAUCUGUCUGUCCUGAUCUUGGGUGGAUUGAUGGGAGUGGGGUUCACUCCGUGCCUUCUUUCACUUUACCUUGUUCCUAAGGAUCUGCUACUACAAAGCCCUGAGAUGGGGCACCUCUCUGUGCAUGUGGGCGGACACCACAUGUGCGUGUGGGACCUGCCACACAGAACAAGGCCCGGGAGGGUGGGGAGUGGGUAGAAAGGCUGUUUUUAGGCUCAUUCUCACGAGUGUAAAAGGGAUGAGAACAAAAUAACUCCUGUUGAGUUCCUGUGGUGUAAUGUUAUUUCUCAGCAGUCAUGGGUGAGGAGGACUAGGACAGUGGUCGGCAAACUGUGGCUCGGCAAACCGCGGCUUGUGAGCCACAUGCGGCUCUGGCCUUGUCAGUGUGGCUCUUCCACAAAAUA